AUGUGGAACAACCCCAGUGGUGGCGGCUAGCUCUAGAGCUCUGGAUUCAGCUCCCACAGUAACUAACUCCGGAGCUCUGCGUCUGCAGGGGCCUGGAUCCUCCGGGGGCGGG
rnacentral:pre_miRNA from 1 species